UCUCCGUUGGUGAACCAGCGGAGGGAUCAUUACCGAGUUUACAACUCCCAAACCCAAUGUGAACCAUACCAAGCUGUUGCCUCGGCGGGGUCACGCCCCGGGUGCGUCGCAGCCCCGGAACCAGGCGCCCGCCGGAGGGACCAACCAAACUCUUUCUGUAGUCCCCUCGCUGACGUUAUUUCUUACAGCUCUGAGCAAAAAUUCAAAAUGAAUCAAAACUUUCAACAACGGAUCUCUUGGUUCUG
rnacentral:misc_RNA from 1 species